CCCUGGAGUUUAAUUCCGUUCCCCUAGUGAGAAGCUGCAGGACUUGUAGCAUGUCCGGUAACCCCUUCUGCAGCCACCUUCCCACACCAGGGUAGGCUGUGAUCAGGAGCCAGUCAUCAGCCCUAAUCCUACAGACACACGGUUGCUCACUUGGACAACAUUUCAGCAAGAUUGUGAAGCUACACGGAGGAACCCACGUGGUGUGGAUGUGAUCAAGUGUUCUCACCGAAAUACCUGGGCAAGGAAUUGGUGCUAAAAGACCCUAGGCCAGCUUCCAGUCCACGCUGUCGAACAGGAAUAUGUGAGCCGCACACGAAAUGGUAAACCUUUUCGCCGCCGUGUUUGGAAAAGCAAAAAGAAAUUAAGUAAAAUUAAUUUUAGAGUUUUAUUUCAUCCAUUAUAUCCAAAUAGUAUCGUUUCUCUACAUACAGUUAAUAUAAACAUUAUUAAUGAACUAUUUUACUUUCUUUAUUCUAAGUCUUCACAAUCUGGAGCGUAUUUUAUACUUUCAGCACAUGUGAACUUGGACUGGUCACAUUACAGGUACUCAACAGUCAUAUGUGGCUCCUGGCUACUGUAUAGGACAGUGCAGUACUAAAUGAUUGAUGGUAGAAUAGUGGACAAGAAAACCUUCAGCAAUAUACAAGUAUAAAGUCAAUAUUUUUAUUAUCGGGGAAAAUAUGCAGUGCUAAUAUCUUACAUGUUCAGUUCUGCCUUGCGGAGGGUGCGGUGGAGUGGGGAACUCUGGUCAGCAUUAGCUCCCAAUGUGAGCUAAGCCUUCUGCUCACAUGAAUGAUGAAACUUGUUCAUACAGGCUUAGAAAUGUGGGUCAUGGUGGAUAUGUAAUUUAUAAGUCUAAGGGGAAAAAAGAAUUAUUAGUAGUUAGGGAAUUAUUAAGAGAACCAGACCAAAGCUAUUCUGCAAGUUUUGCCAUUUAAUAACAUUUUCAGAGUCUAAACUCUGGGUGAGAACCAAGCUCUGCCUGAGAAAUGACAGUGCCUAGAUAUCCUC
rnacentral:lncRNA from 1 species